UACGUAGGGGGCGAGCGUUGUCCGGAGUUACUGGGCGUAAAGCGCACGCAGGCGGUCUGCUAAGUUUGGAGUGACAGUUGGUGGCUUAACUGCCAAAGUGCUUCGAAAACUGACAGACUUGAGGGCUUCAGAGGGACACGGAAUUCCGGGUGGAGUGGUGAAAUGCGUAGAGAUCCGGAGGAACACCAAAGGCGAAGGCAGUGUCCUGGGUGGUCGCUGACGCUGAGAGGCGAAAGCCAGGGGAGCGAACGGG
rnacentral:rRNA from 1 species